GCAGUGGUGGUUCAGUGGUAGAAUUCUUGCUUUCUGUGCAAGAGUCCUGGGUUUGAUUCCCAGCCAAUGCA
rnacentral:tRNA from 1 species